rnacentral:misc_RNA from 1 species
GGGUAAAGGAACCAUGGCAGG